UACGUAGGGACCGAGCGUUGUCCGGAUUCAUUGGGCGUAAAGGGCUCGUAGGCGGCUGUUCAAGUCGAACGUGAAAACUCGGGGCUCAACUCCGAGCCUGCGUUCGAUACUGGAUGGCUAGAGUCUGGUAGGGGGAUCUGGAAUUCCUGGUGUAGCGGUGGAAUGCGCAGAUAUCAGGAGGAACACCGGUGGCGAAGGCGGGAUCCUGGGCCAGUACUGACGCUGAUGAGCGAAAAGCGUGGGGAGCAAACAGGGUAGUAAGCCAACC
rnacentral:rRNA from 1 species